ACGGGAAGAGCCCAAACCAACAAGCUUGCUUGUUGGGGUUGUAGGACACUCUAUACGGAGUUACAAAGGACGACAUUAGACGAAUCAUCUGGAAAGAUGAAUCAAAGAAGGUAAUAAUCCUGUAGUCGAAAAUGUUGUCUCUCUUGAGUGGAUCCUGAGUACGACGGAGCACGUGAAAUUCCGUCGGAAUCUGGGAGGACCAUCUCCUAAGGCUAAAUACUCUCUAGUGACCGAUAGUGAACCAGUACCGUGAGGGAAAGGUGAAAAGCACCCCGGAAGGGGAGUGAAAUAGAACCUGAAACCGUGUGCUUACAAGUAGUCAGAGCCCGUUAAUGGGUGAUGGCGUGCCUUUUGUAGAAUGAACCGGCGAGUUACGAUUUGAUGCAAGGUUAAGCAGUAAAUGUGGAGCCGUAGCGAAAGCGAGUCUGAAUAGGGCGUUUAGUAUUUGGUCGUAGACCCGAAACCAGGUGAUCUACCCUUGGUCAGGUUGAAGUUCAGGUAACACUGAAUGGAGGACCGAACCGACUUACGUUGAAAAGUGAGCGGAUGAACUGAGGGUAGCGGAGAAAUUCCAAUCGAACCUGGAGAUAGCUGGUUCUCUCCGAAAUAGCUUUAGGGCUAGCCUCAAGUGAUGAUUAUUGGAGGUAGAGCACUGUUUGGACGAGGGGCCCCUCUCGGGUUACCGAAUUCAGACAAACUCCGAAUGCCAAUUAAUUUAACUUGGGAGUCAGAACAUGGGUGAUAAGGUCCGUGUUCGAAAGGGAAACAGCCCAGACCACCAGCUAAGGUCCCAAAAUAUAUGUUAAGUGGAAAAGGAUGUGGCGUUGCCCAGACAACUAGGAUGUUGGCUUAGAAGCAGCCAUCAUUUAAAGAGUGCGUAAUAGCUCACUAGUCGAGUGACACUGCGCCGAAAAUGUACCGGGGCUAAACAUAUUACCGAAGCUGUGGAUUGUCCUUUGGACAAUGGUAGGAGAGCGUUCUAAGGGCGUUGAAGCAUGAUCGUAAGGACAUGUGGAGCGCUUAGAAGUGAGAAUGCCGGUGUGAGUAGCGAAAGACGGGUGAGAAUCCCGUCCACCGAUUGACUAAGGUUUCCAGAGGAAGGCUCGUCCGCUCUGGGUUAGUCGGGUCCUAAGCUGAGGCCGACAGGCGUAGGCGAUGGAUAACAGGUUGAUAUUCCUGUACCACCUAUAAUCGUUUUAAUCGAUGGGGGGACGCAGUAGGAUAGGCGAAGCGUGCGAUUGGAUUGCACGUCUAAGCAGUAAGGCUGAGUAUUAGGCAAAUCCGGUACUCGUUAAGGCUGAGCUGUGAUGGGGAGAAGACAUUGUGUCUUCGAGUCGUUGAUUUCACACUGCCGAGAAAAGCCUCUAGAUAGAAAAUAGGUGCCCGUACCGCAAACCGACACAGGUAGUCAAGAUGAGAAUUCUAAGGUGAGCGAGCGAACUCUCGUUAAGGAACUCGGCAAAAUGACCCCGUAACUUCGGGAGAAGGGGUGCUCUUUAGGGUUAACGCCCAGAAGAGCCGCAGUGAAUAGGCCCAAGCGACUGUUUAUCAAAAACACAGGUCUCUGCUAAACCGUAAGGUGAUGUAUAGGGGCUGACGCCUGCCCGGUGCUGGAAGGUUAAGAGGAGUGGUUAGCUUCUGCGAAGCUACGAAUCGAAGCCCCAGUAAACGGCGGCCGUAACUAUAACGGUCCUAAGGUAGCGAAAUUCCUUGUCGGGUAAGUUCCGACCCGCACGAAAGGCGUAACGAUUUGGGCACUGUCUCAACGAGAGACUCGGUGAAAUCAUAGUACCUGUGAAGAUGCAGGUUACCCGCGACAGGACGGAAAGACCCCGUGGAGCUUUACUGUAGCCUGAUAUUGAAAUUCGGCACAGCUUGUACAGGAUAGGUAGGAGCCUUUGAAACGUGAGCGCUAGCUUACGUGGAGGCGCUGGUGGGAUACUACCCUAGCUGUGUUGGCUUUCUAACCCGCACCACUUAUCGUGGUGGGAGACAGUGUCAGGCGGGCAGUUUGACUGGGGCGGUCGCCUCCUAAAAGGUAACGGAGGCGCUCAAAGGUUCCCUCAGAAUGGUUGGAAAUCAUUCAUAGAGUGUAAAGGCAUAAGGGAGCUUGACUGCGAGACCUACAAGUCGAGCAGGGUCGAAAGACGGACUUAGUGAUCCGGUGGUUCCGCAUGGAAGGGCCAUCGCUCAACGGAUAAAAGCUACCCCGGGGAUAACAGGCUUAUCUCCCCCAAGAGUUCACAUCGACGGGGAGGUUUGGCACCUCGAUGUCGGCUCAUCGCAUCCUGGGGCUGUAGUCGGUCCCAAGGGUUGGGCUGUUCGCCCAUUAAAGCGGUACGCGAGCUGGGUUCAGAACGUCGUGAGACAGUUCGGUCCCUAUCCGUCGUGGGCGUAGGAAAUUUGAGAGGAGCUGUCCUUAGUACGAGAGGACCGGGAUGGACAUACCUCUGGUGUACCAGUUGUCGUGCCAACGGCAUAGCUGGGUAGCUAUGUGUGGACGGGAUAAGUGCUGAAAGCAUCUAAGCAUGAAGCCCCCCUCAAGAUGAGAUUUCCCAACUUCGGUUAUAAGAUCCCUCAAAGAU
rnacentral:rRNA from 1 species